UACGAAGGGGGCUAGCGUUGCUCGGAAUCACUGGGCGUAAAGCGCUCGCAGGUGGUUCGUUGCGUCGUGCGUGAAAGACCCCGGCUCAACUGGGGGGUGUCGUGCGAUACGGGCGAACUGGAGGCCAGUAGGGGGAUGCGGAAUUCCGGGUGUAGUGGUGGAAUGCGUAGAGAUCCGGAGGAACACCAGCGGCGAAGGCGGCAUCCUGGACUGGUCCUGACACUCAGGAGCGAAAGCGUGGGGAGCGAUCCGG
rnacentral:rRNA from 1 species